GACGAACGCUGGCGGCGUGCUUAACACAUGCAAGUCGAACGGAAAGGCCCUGCUUUUGUGGGGUGCUCGAGUGGCGAACGGGUGAGUAACACGUGAGUAACCUGCCCUUGACUUUGGGAUAACUUCAGGAAACUGGGGCUAAUACCGGAUAGGAGCUCCUGCUGCAUGGUGGGGGUUGGAAAGUUUCGGCGGUUGGGGAUGGACUCGCGGCUUAUCAGCUUGUUGGUGGGGUAGUGGCUUACCAAGGCUUUGACGGGUAGCCGGCCUGGGAGGGUGACCGGCCACAUUGGGACUGGAAUACGGCCCAGACUCCUACGGGAGGCAGCAGUGGAGAAUAGUGUACAAUGGGCUGAAGCCUAAUGCAGCACCGCCGCGUGCGGGAUGACGGCCUGCGGGUUGUAAUCCGCUUUCGCCUGUGACGAAGCGUGAGUGACGGUAAUGGGUAAAGAAGCACCGGCUAACUACGUG
rnacentral:rRNA from 1 species